AUCUUCAAGCAGUGGAUCACUCGCGUUACCAAUCGAUGAAUAACGCAGCUAGCUACGAUAAUCAAUGGUUGUACGCUAAGAAUAGUCACAAUUCAAUAGAUAUUAACUUUACUCAACCCAAUAAGAGUAGAUUCAGAGCAA
rnacentral:rRNA from 1 species